UCGAAUGGGUUCCGUGAGUGAAUCUGAAUGUUGGACUAGACUGGGGAGGGUUUCCCCAUUUCCCACACACAGACACGCGAGCUGGCGUUUCCAUUCAUACACUCGCUUGGGGUUGCUGGGCCUUUGGUGGUGGCCGUGGCAUAUGACUCAUCAUCGGAGGCAUCGCUCCAGGACAGGCUCGAGACACGUGCCGCACAUUAAACGGCGCAAACUGAACUCAAGCACAUGCACUCGAAGAAUAAUCAGUUCGAUGCAGUAUAAAAUAUCUUGUUAUUGAUUAUAUACAUAUACGAAGGAAUUUCAAUUCAAGUGAAUGAGAAACCGCACAAUUUAGAUGAUUGCAAUAGGUUAGUUAGCAACUAAGGUAUGUUUAAGCUCAGCUAUUAUCUUGGUAAUGGAUUGUAAUCUUCCUACAAAAGCUGAGAAAUGACAAUACGGCUACAGUGUUCAUUGGGCUCGAGUGCACGCACUCAUAAUCGUAAUCGGUAGGCAUUUGUGCCGCGGGGUGUUUUAGAUUCUUUCGAAAGGGUUGCCGAUGCUGUGACCCACAGUGCAGCGGCACAAAUGUCAUCGCAGCUCGUUUGUCUUUUCAACAGAUUGGUUCCCCCACUCGGAGAGCGUUUUGUUCCGCCGGCAGACACGGAACCCAAUGCGACGUGGUGCGGUAACUUCACAACAGGCGGAAUAUUAAUGUUGCGCCUAAGCCGUUACAAGGGCCAUCUUCCGACGUCUGCGCUGCAGUUGUAGCCCAGCCAACCCAGUCAGUCAACCAAGCAACCAGGCCAGCGGGCAUUGACCCCGUACUUGGCCGGUCUUCCUCUCAAGCAUUAUGUAUUGCGUACUUGCUGUUGAUGUUGGUGCCGAGUGGCGAAGUGACGAGGUGACGUACUGCGCCCUCGUCACACACUCUCCCACAUCGGAUCGGAUGUGGCACCAGUGCGGUGGCUACAGAACGGCAUUGACGCCAAGUUCGAAUUGUGCCACACGGGCACUUUGGCGAACUGGGAAAAGAGAGUAAACCAGGAAAGGUGCGGUGCGGAAAAGGUUUGUUGUGGUGCCACCAUGACUUGUUUCCUACACUUGCGGUCAAUGGGCCAGAACCCCACGGGUGCGAUGAAGUAUGCAUGUGGGUUAAAGUGAUUUGUCUUACGACUAUUGCUUCUAAAAAAAAAAUAUUUGGGCAGAGGGUCUUCAUUGAUGGUUUGUGGAGAGCAACUACAUCAGGUUUAUUGUAUUUUGGAUAAUAUAUUUUAGUUUGAUUAGACUUUAGCCACUUUAAGUAUCAAUGUUCAAACUAUAUUUUUUCUGAGUGUACUUUAGCUGCAGCAUAUUAAAUAUGAUUUAGCGACUACUGCUUCUACCGCAAGUGUGUGUCUGCAAACUGAGUUGUGGUAAUGAUUAUCGGGCUGCAUGACGUGUUGGAGGAUGGCUACAUUUCAUUAGUUCAAUUGCGACUGGGUAGCUCGGCAAUGGGAUUGGAUAAGUGAGCACUUUCCCCUUUUGGCGGCGCACAUCCGAGCACAAAAACCCCAUGUGCUUGGCUGCACUGAUCUAGAUCUAGACUAUCUGUUAGCAUGGCUACAUACACACGUAUGCAUAUGUAAAUUCGCGGAACGAGUGUGUUUAAACAUACACAUACAUACAAUGGCUCGUAGGUACAUAAUGCAAUUAAUGCAGCCGCAUUAAUGUGGGGAAAAUGUGCUAAGCUCAUUCGCUGUACGAAUUUUGUGGGUCGCUAGUUCUCUUUAAUUUGAAAAAUGCAGUUGCCUCGUUGAAUAUUAGUACUUUUGCAUCAGUCACUGGCACUUGCUGUGCCAAUUAAGCACUCUAACGUGACUCCCAGGCCAGCUGGAUGAUAAAUAAAAAUACUAUUAAUUGCGGUCAGUUAAGUUCAUCAAACUAGCGAGAUGUUUAGGCCAAGCAGUUAUGUGUUUUAAUUUAAAAAAAGAGAGUCUACUAUAGUAUGAAAUCUGCUUGAAUAGACUGAUUUUCCAUUCUGUCAGUUUAAUCCCCCGAUAAUAGCACAAUCGGCAGGUUUCACUUGUUUUGUGGGCUUGCUGCUGCUUUUAUGGGCGCUUUAAAAUCGCGACUUAUCUUAUCAGCCAUGGGCCCAUCCCCCAGAUGGGCAUAGCCUGGUUCCGUAGUUCCACCAUCAUCACCAGGGGGUAUAAAUAUUGACACGCGUCCCAGCACUUAUCGCCAGUGAGCUAGAUGAACCUGGAAAUCAAGACUCGACCUCAAACACAUCUGCACAUACAUAUGCUUUUACAAAUAUUAAGCGAGCCAAAUCUUAGCGAGUGUCAAUCAAAUUCGCCCGACCAAAUGGGACAUAAGAAAUAGCGGUAUAUAAUUUUAAAGUCCCCUUUUUUUUCUUAACAGAUGCAAUUAUUGCUAGAGUGGCCAGGCGACUCUUUAAGUUUAUCCAAACAGUUAAUUGGUUUGAUGACAAAAGAUCUUUAUAAGUUUUUGAAAUUACUCUUAUUAAGAACCAUACCUCGAUCCUCCCAAUUGUUUUGUUCACUGAACCUUGGCUACAGUAUUCACAACAGUUGGAAAUCUAUGGAAAUCAUGACAGUAUUUAAUCAGUUAUAAAGACGAAAUUAAGUAAAUCCAGCACUUUGGAAUUGCAAUUGGCAGCUUUUCUUGCCGCACUUGUAACUUUUGUAAAUCGACCUCUAUUUAUAUUUUUCACACUCAAAAAUUUUGACCAUAAAAACACAAUCUUGAAUAGUAUUUUGAAAAAUUAUAUUUAAAUUGAAACUAAAGGUUUGCAGAAUUUGUAUAUGAAAUUUGUAACUGAAUUGUUGUUGUGAAAAAAACGUACUAACUUAAACCUGUUGUGUUGCGCUAAACGCGAACCACAAAACCUGCUGGGCAGCGUUAGCGGACGCAUUUAGUUCGCUUGAUAUUGGUUACUUGUUGUGUGGUCUUAGAACUAUUAGGUCUAUUAGGUUUUUAGAUUUUCCUGCUGCGCACAAGGGGUACGGCCCGCCCCGCCAUGCACGCUGGCCCAACUGUGUAGAUAAGAGAUAAUCGAUUUUCGUAUUGCCAUAGCGAUUUGCCGUAUUCCCAACAGUUCGGCCGCAGUUUCAGCUUCCCAGC
rnacentral:sRNA from 1 species